rnacentral:rRNA from 1 species
AGACUUAGUAGACACAGGGAUGCCCUAGUAACGGCGAGUGAAGCGGCAACAGCUCAAAUUUGAAAUCUGGCUCUUUUAGAGUCCGAGUUGUAAUUUGCAGAGGGCGCUUUGGCUUUGGCAGCGGUCCAAGUUCCUUGGAACAGGACGUCACAGAGGGUGAGAAUCCCGUACGUGGUCGCUGGCUAUUGCCGUGUAAAGCCCCUUCGACGAGUCGAGUUGUUUGGGAAUGCAGCUCUAAAUGGGAGGUACAUUUCUUCUAAAGCUAAAUAUUGGCCAGAGACCGAUAGCGCACAAGUAGAGUGAUCGAAAGAUGAAAAGCACUUUGGAAAGAGAGUCAAACAGCACGUGAAAUUGUUGAAAGGGAAGCGCUUGCAGCCAGACUUGCUUGCAGUUGCUCAUCCGGGCUUUUGCCCGGUGCACUCUUCUGUAGGCAGGCCAGCAUCAGUUUGGGCGGUAGGAUAAAGGUCUCUGUCACGUACCUCUCUUCGGGGAGGCCUUAUAGGGGAGGCGACAUACUACCAGCCUGGACUGAGGUCCGCGCAUCUGCUAGGAUGCUGGCGUAAUGGCUGUAAGCGGCCCGUCUUGAAACACGGACCAAGGAGUCUAACAUCUAUGCGAGUGUUUGGGUGUCAAGCCCGAGCGCGUAAUGAAAGUGAACGGAGGUAGGACCCCGCAAGGGUGCACUAUCGACCGAUCCUGAUGUCUUCGGAAGGAUUUGAGUAAGAGCAUGGCUGUUGGGACCCGAAAGAUGGUGAACUAUGCUUGAAUAGGGUGAAGCCAGAGGAAACUCUGGUGGAGGCUCGCAGCGGUUCUGACGUGCAAAUCGAUCGUCAAAUUUGGGCAUAGGGGCGAAAGACUAAUCGAACUAUCUAGUAGCUGUCUGCGAUUCCCUUCUGGGAAACCGGCUCAGAGAUGGUCGAUAGUCUUCGCCCCUAUCCCACUUGACGACGAUUUGCACGUAGACUGCGACGUCUCAAGAGUCUCUCUUGCCUACUCUAUCAAGCUAGUUCCUGCUCGUGAUGCAUGACUUACAACUUCGGAUAGACGCGAAGGCCUCGGCACCGUGUCUUAUUCAACGGGGAUACAACUCAAUAAGAAUCUCGGUCGUAAGCGUCGCAGGAUUGCCCUUAUCCGCACAGAUCGAGUUUCUACACUAGAUCAGAGAGGGCGUAUACUGUA